rnacentral:lncRNA from 1 species
UUUUUAACGUCAACACGUCUGGUCAGACGUUUGCCAUCGCCAACGAAACUUCGCAUCGUUUGAAAAAAGCUACAACCAUGCCUGUCGAUCGCGGGGUCAUUCGCAGUAUUAUUAGAAAAUUCAUCGGCUUCCUGAAAUGGUGGUUUAUCGCUUUUGUUUUCAUUGUUGUAAUCUCUCUUCUACCUCCGCAUCUGGGACGAGCAGUCCACGUGUCUUUCGCAACCAUCCUCACAGGAGGUCCUAUAGUUUAUCUUCUUGUUCAACUGGAUCUGUUAACCCAUUUGCGUGGCCAAAAUGCUGCCGUUCGAAGAGCUAGAAGGCAACCACAAGAGGAAGAACCAAGAGCAACGCCUCCCCUCCGGAGAAGAAUCCGGAGCUGUGAACGUGGCUUAUGAAGGUUCAAAUGAAACGGUCCGAGCAACCUAUGCAUUGCCAAGCAAUUUCUUAACGCCCUUAUCCACUUCAACGUCUCGUGAUAGAGACGACGCUGUUGCCUCCUCCACUACCACCAAAACUGAGGCUGGUACGGAAAAGGAAGCAUAUUCAAUUAGCAGAGAAGGAAGUAGACAUAGUAAUUUUUAUUCUAGAUCUGCGUUGGAAGGACCUCUUCGAAAGGAAAGAACGCAAUGUAACAUUUUGAUCUCCAAUGAACCUUCCGAUGCAAGUGGAUUGGGUGAGGUACCGAUGGACUCCUGCAGAACAUAGCAUGGAGUCGGGAGAGUUAACGGACGAAAAAUGUUAAAAUGGCGAGCAGUCUAUUAGAGCUGGUGCAUCAAUGAACCGAGUUAUUAGCGACGAAAUAUUUUGUUGAGAUUUAGCUCAGUUGAUAAGGAUGUUAAGGGAAAUUAUCGUGGGGUAAGCCUUUUAGCUGCUUAACGACAUUAGGAAACAGUUGUGCAACUAUUAGAUUAUAAUAGAAAACUUUGCGUUUUAAGGUGAUGGUUGAAACGGUUCGUAGUUGGCAAGAAGUAUUUAUUAGAAUGUUUUUAGAUUAAGAAAUUUUCUUUUAGAGUCGCUCUUUAAAUUGUUGACCAUUCUUUUAAACUAUAUAUCAAUGCUUCCGUUUAGCCAAAUUUUAUACUUUUAAUAUCAGAAUGGCCUAAUAUUUUUAUCAUGACUUCACACCAGAAAUAACUGACGCGGUAGAUCAUUUAGUUUUCAAAAGAAUGUCCUGCUUUUCAUUUAGCUAAACGAGAUUUUAAUUAAAUGUUCACAUAUGUUG